CAAGUCGAGCGGAGAUGAGGUGCUUGCACCUUAUCUUAGCGGCGGACGGGUGAGUAAUGCUUAGGAAUCUGCCUAUUAGUGGGGGACAACAUUCCGAAAGGAAUGCUAAUACCGCAUACGUCCUACGGGAGAAAGCAGGGGAUCUUCGGACCUUGCGCUAAUAGAUGAGCCUAAGUCGGAUUAGCUAGUUGGUGGGGUAAAGGCCUACCAAGGCGACGAUCUGUAGCGGGUCUGAGAGGAUGAUCCGCCACACUGGGACUGAGACACGGCCCAGACUCCUACGGGAGGCAGCAGUGGGGAAUAUUGGACAAUGGGGGGAACCCUGAUCCAGCCAUGCCGCGUGUGUGAAGAAGGCCUUAUGGUUGUAAAGCACUUUAAGCGAGGAGGAGGCUACUGAGACUAAUACUCUUGGAUAGUGGACGUUACUCGCAGAAUAAGCACCGGCUAACUCUGUGCCAGCA
rnacentral:rRNA from 1 species